UCAGAGUUUUGAAUCCUGGCUCAGAGCGAACGCUGGCGGCAGGCCUAACACAUGCAAGUCGAACGAAGUCUUCGGACUUAGUGGCGGACGGGUGAGUAACACGUGGGAACGUGCCUUUAGGUUCGGAAUAACUCAGGGAAACUUGUGCUAAUACCGAAUGUGCCCUUCGGGGGAAAGAUUUAUCGCCUUUAGAGCGGCCCGCGUCUGAUUAGCUAGUUGGUGAGGUAAAGGCUCACCAAGGCGACGAUCAGUAGCUGGUCUGAGAGGAUGAUCAGCCACAUUGGGACUGAGACACGGCCCAAACUCCUACGGGAGGCAGCAGUGGGGAAUCUUGCGCAAUGGGCGAAAGCCUGACGCAGCCAUGCCGCGUGAAUGAUGAAGGUCUUAGGAUUGUAAAAUUCUUUCACCGGGGACGAUAAUGACGGUACCCGGAGAAGAAGCCCCGGCUAACUUCGUGCCAGCAGCCGCGGUAAUACGAAGGGGGCUAGCGUUGCUCGGAAUUACUGGGCGUAAAGGGAGCGUAGGCGGACAUUUAAGUCAGGGGUGAAAUCCCGGGGCUCAACCUCGGAAUYGCCUUUGAUACUGGGUGUCUUGAGUGUGAGAGAGGUAUGUGGAACUCCGAGUGUAGAGGUGAAAUUCGUAGAUAUUCGGAAGAACACCAGUGGCGAAGGCGACAUACUGGCUCAUUACUGACGCUGAGGCUCGAAAGCGUGGGGAGCAAACAGGAUUAGAUACCCUGGUAGUCCACGCCGUAAACGAUGAUUGCUAGUUGUCGGGAUGCAYGCMUUUCGGUGACGCAGCUAACGCAUAAGCAAUCCGCAUGGA
rnacentral:rRNA from 1 species